rnacentral:tRNA from 1 species
UACGUAGCUCAGUCGGUAGAGCACUUCCUUGGUAAGGAAGAGGUCGCCGGUUCGAUUCCGUUCGUA